UCCUUCCAAACUCAAAUGUCUUCACAGUACUUCUACUACCUAAAAUGUCACAAUCAAAGAAUUCGAAAAUUAGUAAUGGAUACAUAAACCUCAUAAACAGCCGUAACACGAGACUGGAGUGGCAACAAAGACUAACUAGAACCAACAGUGGUGGUGGUGUUGCUCAUUAUAUUCCAACAAACAAUUCACACUGCGCAGACUACUUGAUUAUUGAUAAACGGUUUAAGCCGAGUUCCUGCAAUGAAGAAAAUCAAAAUUGACCACCCCUAUUUAUAAUCAAAUAGAAGGGUGAAAAUGGAAUGCGACCCAUCAGUCUACAUCAACAACUCUUGCUUGCACCACUUAUACACUUCCUUAAAACUUCUAAAGAAACCAUCAGAAAAUGAAAG
rnacentral:misc_RNA from 1 species